GCAGUCGAGCGAACAGACGAGGAGCUUGCUCCUUUGACGUUAGCGGCGGACGGGUGAGUAACACGUGGGUAACCUACCUAUAAGACUGGGAUAACUUCGGGAAACCGGAGCUAAUACCGGAUAAUAUUUCAAACCGCAUGGUUCGAUAGUGAAAGAUGGCUUUGCUAUCACUUAUAGAUGGACCUGCGCCGUAUUAGCUAGUUGGUAAGGUAACGGCUUACCAAGGCAACGAUACGUAGCCGACCUGAGAGGGUGAUCGGCCACACUGGAACUGAGACACGGUCCAGACUCCUACGGGAGGCAGCAGUAGGGAAUCUUCCGCAAUGGGCGAAAGCCUGACGGAGCAACGCCGCGUGAGUGAUGAAGGUCUUCGGAUCGUAAAACUCUGUUAUUAGG
rnacentral:rRNA from 1 species